rnacentral:rRNA from 1 species
CACGUAGGGCGCGAGCGUUGUCCGGAAUUAUUGGGCGUAAAGAGCUCGUAGGCGGCCUGUUGCGUCCGCUGUGAAAAGCCCGGGGCUUAACCCCGGGUCGGCAGUGGAUACGGGCAGGCUAGAGGUAGGUAGGGGAGAAUGGAAUUCCCGGUGUAGCGGUGAAAUGCGCAGAGAUCGGGAGGAACAUCGAGUGGCGAAGGCGGCCAUCGUGGGACCAACACUGACGCUGAGGCACGGAAAGCGACUGGGGAGGACCAAA